AGUAGGGAGAAAGGGAGAGGAAAUGGGCAUGGACGAGGAUGGGGAGGCCAUGAGGGAGCACCUCAUUCACGCUGAUGCUGACGGCCGGUGGCAAGGCCAUGAAGAAACUCUCUUCCUUGUAUAGUACUGCCUUUCUCCCUCCUACUGCUUGUCGUUUUCAUCGAAGUGUCAGAAAACAUUUGCAAGAUGCAUGUUUGUUUAUGACGAUAUGGAUAAUUACAGCGAUGUCCAUCCAAUGGUUUAUCUUGCGCAAGUAGACUGCUUUGCAGGCUCUAGAGUUGCCAAAAUCUGCAAACUCUGUGCCACUGUUAUUUACACUCUGCACUAUAUGGGAAACUAUUGUAGAGUUUCUGGAGAGGCAUGAUUGCACGAAAUAUCCCUAGAAGGAGUGACCAAGCAUAUAUUUACUGUCAGGGCAAGCUCUUGAUAGGCAGGACACCCAUGAGCAAGUCCGUCUCCUUGAUACCGUUGAAAGAGUGUCUAUGCAACAUACAUAUCUUGGAUAGACCUAUGAGUUCUGCAGUAGCUAUAAAGCAUCUAAGAAGCUGAUAAAGAAAGUAAUAGAUGGAAGAGACAAGACAGGUGGAACAACAUAGCAUGAACUAGCAGUGAGCUUGGCACUUGGAGUCUCUUUGAAAGGAUGGAAUAGAGACUCGGCUCUCAACGUAAGUAAGAACCACAGGAGUUCCCUGGUCUUCAUUGAAGAUAAGAGAAAGACUUGCACUGACGGAGUUCAUUGAAGUUUGUCAAUUAGCCUGUAUAAUGCAUAUGGUUUUUAAGAUUAUAAGUGCAGAUUCCGAGGUCCUCUAUCACUUACAGCCAUCGUAGGUGGUUUCUAUUUUGAUUUCUAGGAAUUUGUAAUUGAUGUUUCAUUUUUACAGGAAGCGGAAAUAUGAAUGAUUUUUGGAACUUACCGCGGAAGAGACAAGAAGACCUAUAACUUGAAACCACUCAGAUGCA